CUUUUUGUACAUUAAAUGCUAGACUGAUGUCAUGAAGUGGCAUAUGUAUGACACGUCAAUUCGUAUGGCAUUAUUGGCGUGUUAUCAAGACGCAUACUUGCUUUUUAGCGUGUUUCUCAACGCCGUUUGGCCUCCAUUGACUUACAUUACCUUGCGAUUGCGUGUCAAUUGAUGCCGUA